GCUCCUGUGGCGGAAUUGGUUAGCGCAUGGCAUUGAUAUUGCCAAGGUUGUGAGUUCAAGUCUCACCUGGAGCA